UUAAAAUGUAAAUAAUAAUAUUAAAGUAGUAAUAGUUAUGUUCUUGAAACUUAAAAAAUUUGGCGGUAUUUUAGUCUAUCCAGAGGAACCUGUUUUGUAAUCGAUAAUCCACGAUGGACCUUACUUAAGUUUGUAAUCAGUUUAUAUACCGUCGUUAUCAGAAUAUUUUAUAAGAAUAAAAAUAUUCAAUAAUUUUAAUUAAAAUUUAUAUCAGAUCAAGGUGUAGCUUAUAUUUAAGUAAUAAUGGGUUACAAUAAAUUUAUUUAAACGAAUAAAAUUAUGAAAAAAUUUUUGAAGGUGGAUUUGGUAGUAAAAUUAUAAAGAUAAAUAAUUUGAUUUUGGCUCUAAAAUAUGUACACAUCGCCCGUCGCUCUUAUUAUUAAGGUAAGAUAAGUCGUAACAUAGUAGAUGUACUGGAAAGUGUAUCUAGAAUGA
rnacentral:rRNA from 1 species